UGGCAUUUCAUGGACUACCGUUUGCUUAAAGGUAAGACAUGUUUUAAUUGUUCUUAGUUAAACAAUUCAAGUGUCUGUAGCAGUUAAACAUUGUCUUAAGUUACUGCAAAUUACCAAACAUGGCAACUUUACUGUACAGCAAGUCAAUUAAGUUAUAGUGUGAAGGAUUCGAAGUCAGUCUACGUCGUCUUUGAUUUGACUAAAUGCAUUGCAAUGAUUGAAAAAGUAGUCUCAAUGUCACAAUUUAAUGUGACUAACGUCAUACCGUUAUAUAGUGGCCGUAGAAUACAAGCUACUCUUUUAUUUAAUUGAGUUUUUUGGCCUCAGCCCAAGCUCCCCCUCCCCCACCUUAACAAGCUAGCUAGCAUGUUUGGCACCAUAAUGGAGGAACAGACGUUGUUUUCAAUGGGAUGUGUAACGAAUGUUUUUUUUUAAGCCAAUCACCCAGUAUAGAGGACAGCAAAGCCAGAUGGCCCGCUCUAUUUGAGACAUCUCACAUCCAGGAUGAGUUUCACAGAAUCACAAUGGUGCAUCUUGAAUCAAAAUUCAUGUCCAAACUGGAUGAAUAUACUCCUCGACUUCUGAACCUCUUCCACUCCAAGGGCGGAAGCAUGGGGUUGAGAUUGCAGGCUGUCCUACUCAAGACUCCAAGCAAUCCUGACAUCAACAUGACCAGAGAUGUUAUCAUUCGAUGUUUGAUGCUGUACCUUGGGGAAUCUACAGAUCAACUCUUAA